rnacentral:rRNA from 1 species
AUUGAACGCUGGCGGCAUGCUUUACACAUGCAAGUCGGACGGCAGCACAGAGAAGCUUGCUUCUUGGGUGGCGAGUGGCGAACGGGUGAGUAACAUAUCGGAACGUACCGAGCUGAGGGGGAUAACUAAUCGAAAGAUUAGCUAAUACCGCAUAUCUUCUGAGGAAGAAAGCAGGGGACCAUUUGGCCUUGCGCUGUUUGGGCGGCCGAUAUCUGAUUAGCUAGUUGGUGGGGUAAAGGCCUACCAAGGCGACGAUCAGUAGCGGGUCUGAGAGGAUGGUCCGCCACACUAGGACUGGGCCACGGCCCAGGCUCCUACGGGAGGCAGCAGUGGGGAAUUUUGGACAAUGGGCGCAAACCUUAUCCAGCCAUGCCGCGUGUCAUGAGAAGGCCUUCGGGUUGUAAAGGACUUUUGUCAGGGAAGAAAAGGGCGGGGUUAAUACCCCUGUCUGAUGACGGUACCUGAAGAAUAAGCACCGGCUAACUACGUG